rnacentral:rRNA from 1 species
CCAGACUCCUACGGGAGGCAGCAGUGAGGAAUAUUGGUCAAUGGCCGGAAGGCUGAACCAGCCAAGCCGCGUGAAGGAUGAAGGUGCCAAGCAUUGUAAACUUCUUUUGUCAAGGGACAAAAUCAGGCUCGAGAGCCUGACCGAGGGUACUUGAAGAAAAAGCAUCGGCUAACUCCGUGCCAGCAGCCGCGGUAAUACGGAGGAUGCGAGCGUUAUCCGGAUUUAUUGGGUUUAAAGGGUGCGUAGGCGGGUUGUUAAGUCAGGGGUAAAACCCGGGGGCUCACCCCCGGCGAGCCGUUGAAACUGGCUGUCUUGAGAUGUCGAGAGGUAUGCGGAAUGCGCAGUGUAGCGGUGAAAUGCUUAGAUAUUGCGCAGAACUCCGAUUGCGAAGGCAGCAUACCGGCGCUCAACUGACGCUCAUGCACGAGAGCGUGGGUAUCGAACAGGAUUAGAUACCCCCGUA